rnacentral:tRNA from 1 species
AAGGACUUAAGUUAAACAAACUCUCAGCCUUCAAAGUUGAAAAUGAAGUAAGCUCUUUAGGCCUUA